UUAUCUACAACCCAUCCAUGCUUGGGCUACAGAAUUGGGUCCACCAAAGUUCUUUUAUUUUGGCUACAUUAGUAAUUUCAAGAAAGUAUUGGGGUAUAUCGGUCUACCGGAGAGUUUCCACUUUUCCUAGUCUCCCGAGUGCCGAACCAUGUAAGAAGCGGAGUCGAAUUCUUGAUAAAGCUUCCAAGAGAAGACCAUCCAUUGUUGGAACUCGAGAGGAACACGAGGUUUGGCGAAGAGGAGAGGCCGGGACUGGGCGGGUCUUGCCAAGUUUUUAUAUAAAUGGCGUUUAUGAGAGGAGAGCCUUUGGUGGCGAAGCUCGCAGUACUGGCGAGGUACGGAGUUCUUCCGGGGGCUAUGGUUGCUGCUUUGAUCUACUCACCGCCGCAGGAGUCUAACAAGAAGGACGUUUCCACUUCCAAGUAGAACGUCUUCUCUUUCAAGAAAAUUUGGGCCACUUGGUGAUGCAUGUGCUGAACGUGUGGAGAUCUACAUCAUUGCUAUGGCUUCAUCUCAAUAGAUUCCUUUUUUUUUUUUUUUUUCCUUUGAAUAAUAUGGGGAGUGUGUUAUGUUCAGGCUUAAUGAACAAAUGUGAGCUGGUUUUUGAUCUUUUGAUAUUAGAUAAAAAUAUGUGAAAUUUCCACCAUGCUGUCAUUCAAAUAAAUGCAUUGGGUUCAUUGCUUUUGUCAACCA